GACGGAAGGUGCAAGCGUUGCUCGGAAUCACUGGGCGUAAAGGGUGCGUAGGCGGCUUGGUAAGUUGGGUGUGAAAGCCCCGGGCUCAGCCCGGGAAGGGCACUCGAAACUGCCGAGCUGGAGUGCCGGAGGGGAGAGUGGAAUUCCUGGUGUAGCGGUGAAAUGCGUAGAUAUCAGGAGGAAUACCGGUGGCGAAAGCGACUCUCUGGACGGCAACUGACGCUGAGGCACGAAAGCGUGGGGAGCAAACAGG
rnacentral:rRNA from 2 species